UCAAAUGGAAAAUAAUAUGUCAGCUGUGAUUUUUACUCGAGUUAAUACGAUCACGACUGACUUUGUCAACGAAAAUCAUCAGAGUGACACGAUGGCUUCUCUUACACCUCCAACCGUAAUGAGAAGCCCAACAGAAAACCAAGAGAAAAGGAGGAAAGGGAAUAAAGUCUCUGCUUUCUUUAAGAGAGCAUGGAAGGCGGUAAAGCGCCCUUUCCUUUGCUGUGACCGGAACAGAGUGGUUCCCUUUGAACCACGGUCAGAUAUCGACGAUUUCAAACACCUGCCUGUUCCAGGUCCCUCCAGGACCGUCACAGCACAUGCAGCAGAUCUUGAGCCGGUGUGUCCGCCAGGCCAGGUCUGUGAAGAUCCUAAGCUGUUGAGUGUUCCGGGCCCUUUCAGCAUCAAGCAAACAGCAGAUGUGCCAAAUGCAGAUCCGGCCCGUCCUGAGUCCUCAACGGCCUUCACAGGUCAUGUUGAUACUGAGCUGGUGUGUCUGCCAGGCCAGAUCUGGGAAGAUCCUCAGCCAAUCAGUGUCCAUGGCCCUUCCAAUAUUAAGAAAAUGACGGAUGCAGAUUCGGCCUGUCCUGAGUCGCCUCCGUCUGUUCAAGACCCCUGUAAAAUUGAUGGGACUGAUGAAAAACCCAAGAAGGGAAGGAAAGGCAAAAGAGUCUCUGCUUUCUUUAAGAGAGUAUGGAUGGCUGCAAGGCGCCCUUUCCUGUGCUGUGACACAGAUAUAGUCCAGCAUCUUACACCACAUCCUGAGCCCGAGCCAGAGUCCGAGCCUGGGCUCACUCAUGGAUCUACGAUGUCUCUUUUUGAAAUAAAAGACCUGAUUGGAGAAGGAAGCUAUGGCAAGGUGUAUCUGGUAUCUCACGUAUUUGAUCAGAGUCUAAAGGAUGGUCAUUCUGAACCUGUGCUUGCGGAAGUGGCAAUGAUGCUCAGGUUGAUGAAUGACCCAACUUGUCCCAGCAUCAUCGGAUUGCACCACUGGGUUGAGAAUAAGAAGGACUUCUAUCUCAUUCUGGAGUACGCAGAGUCAUCCCAGAUCUUGGCUCGUUACGUCAGACGUACAUCGGGCAUUGAUGAAAACCAAGCUCGCCGGUUAAUGCGUCAGUUGAUCCAAGCCGUCAAGUUCUGCGCUGAGCGUGGAGUUUUCCAUGGUGAUAUCCACGCGGGGAACAUCCUGGUGAUUCAACCCCGAUUAGAGCUCAAACUGAUUGACUUUGGUUGUGCUCGACCAAUUACCAGCGAACCUUUCAAAAGCCGUGAUUAUGGAGGAGCCAUAGUUUACACACCACCUGAGAUCUUGAGGGAUCCCACAUUCUUUCCUAACCCGGCAUACGUCUGGACAAUAGGCCUCAUCUUGUAUGAAAUAUUGCACAGACGAUUGGCCUUUACCAACACACGUUCGAUAAUCAUUGGAAAACUUAAGACAGACCUCACCUUAUCUUCAGCAUGCCUGGAGCUGAUUUCCCAGUGUUUGGUCCGCCAUCCAGAGAAGCGGCUACAGUUACAUCAGGUUGAAGAGCACCAGUGGUUCAAUCCAACGAGCCCAAAUCCUGCGCAGCAGCUAGACAAGAGGAGAAAACACUAGAGAAGCGAGGAGGAGAAGAGCAGCAUUUCCAGACAUUCCACAAAACUGUUAAACUUAUUAAUUAUUCCCUCAUGUCAUUCCAAACCCCUAAGACCUUCCUUUUCUUCACUGUCAGUCGUGGAGUGUAUUGAUGAGAGCUCUGUCCUGCACUGUAUGUGUGUCGCACUGCUGACGUUUACCUCAGAUGUGCCCACGCUUUGUUUAAAUGAGAGGAAGUCGCGCAGGUCUCUGGGUUAUACGUCAGCAGCGUGAGCAAAUGCAACACAUAUACAGUGCAGUACAGCACUUCUCAACAGUGUGACAGGCACACAUUGAACUCAGAUUUCAUCUAAAAUGUUUUCAUUUCUGUUCUCAAUAUGAACUAAACAUGAAUAUGAACUAAGGACAUGAGGUGAGCAAUUAAUGACAAUAAUGGUAAUUAAACACCGCAGCUCUGCACAAGACGUUUGGCCAUAGGAGAAAUGGUCGUGCCCAACUGAGCCUGGUUUCUCUCGAGGUUUUUUCCUUCACUUUUGUCAAUUGGUGAAGUUUUGUUCCUCGCCGCUGUCGCCUCUGGCUUGCUUGGUUGGGACUUGUGGAGCUGCGCAUCGAUGGAUUUGCUCUUCAGUGUUUGGACUUUCAGCAUUGACAAUUAAACCACACUGAACUGAACUGAACUUCUACUCUGAAAACUGGACUGACCCAGUUUCAAUUUACUUCUAUGUUAAGCUGCUUUGACACAAUGCACAUUAUAAAAGCGCUAUAGAAAUGAAGAUGAAUUGAACUGAACUGGAUUUCUCCUCUAAAGUUUCAUCAAAGAUCUGCUCAACUUUUUCUGCUUUAUAAUUGAAUCUGGUGUUCUCUCAUAAGAGAGUCUGAUUGUUUUAUAAUCAAGUAUUCAUAAUUGUUUUGUAAUGUAUUGUUCUUUGAAUUGUUUUGUAAUGAAUUGCUUUUAUAUGCUGUCAAUAAUUCAAAUAAAAUCCUGUGAAUCAAA
ensembl:lincRNA